GCUGGCGAGACAGUUUACAGCCGGGAAGAGCAGAACUCCCCUGGAAAGCUUGCUCUAGUCUAUCACAGAGCAGGUGAUGGGUCUGAGCUCCUCUGCCAGCGAAGGGACUUCUUGGAUGCCGGGGACUGGAAGAAGACAUGAGCAGCCGCAGGCUUGGGAAAAAUACUGACAAGACACCUCCUUAGGACAUCUGCUGGACUGA